GCCUGGCUGGCUCAGUCGGUGAAGCGUCCGGCUUCGGCUCAGGUCACGAUCUCACGGUUCAUGGGUUCGAGCCCCAUGUCGGGCU
rnacentral:tRNA from 1 species